CCCACCCCCACCACUCGACCACCUCUCUGUCCAUCUUCCUCUCCCACAGAUGCCUCCUCCGAUUCCCCACGACCAACCACCUUCCUCUCCUACCCCGGCGCCGCUCGCCUCCAACUACCUUUUGCCCCGCACCGGAGCCAGACAACCACUGCCUCCAACCACGCCCAGCCCCGAGCACCCCCUACCCCGGCCUCCCAAGGCCGCUCCGGUGAUGGUCCACCCCACUGCCACCAGCGGAGGCCCUGGAUCCGCGCCGCCACGCCUCCAUUAGUUUGGAUCCCCACGCCUCCAUGGCCGCCGGAAGAGGGUCUGCCCACCCCCAACCCCGAGGUGUUGCCCUCGCCCCACCCCGACCUUGGCCCAUGAUGGUCGUCCUCCACGGCCACUUCCCCGCCCCCACGACAACCGGUCUUCACGGGCGGGGCUCCACGGCGUAGUCCACAACGCCCCCGCCCUCGACCAAGCUUGACGACGCGGCUGCGAACAUCUGCUCCAUCCUCCGGUGAUGGCAACAUCGCCGUGCCAUGCCCCAUCUCACGCCGGAUCUGAACGCAGGGUCACCUGUCUCGCAUCUCCGCUCGGCGGCGUGGCACUACGCAGCUCUGGCGAUUCACUUGUGUGUGUGUGCAGUCCGGCGAUGGUCAACUCCGGUGUCGUGAAUUGGUCGUUGGUGACCUUGCUACAGUUCGUUGCCGCACAUCAUGUGGCUUCUACAGUUGUGGGCUGUGCAGCUUGGCCAGCGUUGCAGUGCGGUCAAGCGAUGUGUGCGGUUUGGCCUCACGGGAUUUUGGCUGUGCAGCUUGGCCAGCGCUACAGUGCGUACGACGAUGCAGUUUGUUGAAUUGGCGUGUGCAGCUAGGGAUUUUGGCGGCGUGACGCUCAGGCGUGUGGUUUCCCAGUGAUGUUCGCCCGCGUGUGCAGUGCGGUUUCCCCGGUGCUGUCCGCCCGGAUGUGCACUGCGGUUAGGUUCACUUGUGUGUGUAGUGUGUGUGAUGUAGUGUGGUAACAAGGCCGUGUGAGGUUACAUGGGGUUGUUUUGACCCUAUGCAGCCCGAUUGCCGCCUCGUCCACACAAUUCACAACACGAAAAUGUCCUUUUCUGGUGACAUCCUCUUUUGGAUGGAUGCAUUUCAGCAUGGCCGCUCUGCAGUCCAGCGACCAUCACCGUGCAGCUCGGCGACAUGAGUGAUGUGGUACACUUGCAAAAAUUUGUAGUUUUUGCUUGCAGGUAGUGUGCGCUGCUUCGGGUGAGCUCGCCUCCUUGCAGUCCACCGACACAUUCGUGCAGUACGGCCCAUGCAUGUGUGCAGUCUGUGGUGCGUGGGAAGCAGCUCGCAAAAGGUCUCAUGAAGUUAUUUUGCCCCUGUGCAGCUUGGUUGCUGCCUCCAUGCAGUUCGGUUGACUCACUACUGCAGUAGGUCGCCGGUGUGUGCGUGUAGAUCAGUUCUGCCAGGCGGCACUGCCCCAUGGUAGUUUAGUGUGUUUGUGUAUGUGUGUUUCAUAUUAUUUUGGCCAUGUGAAUGAAUUCUUGUAUGUAAUGUA